rnacentral:rRNA from 1 species
AGAGUUUGAUCCUGGCUCAUAUUGAACGCUGGCGGCAGGCCUAACACAUGCAAGUCGAGCGGAUGAUGGGAGCUUGCUCCCGGAUUCAGCGGCGGACGGGUGAGUAAUGCCUAGGAAUCUGCCUGGUAGUGGGGGACAACGUUUCGAAAGGAACGCUAAUACCGCAUACGUCCUACGGGAGAAAGCAGGGGACCUUCGGGCCUUGCGCUAUCAGAUGAGCCUAGGUCGGAUUAGCUAGUUGGUGGGGUAAAGGCCUACCAAGGCGACGAUCCGUAACUGGUCUGAGAGGAUGAUCAGUCACACUGGAACUGAGACACGGUCCAGACUCCUACGGGAGGCAGCAGUGGGGAAUAUUGGACAAUGGGCGAAAGCCUGAUCCAGCCAUGCCGCGUGUGUGAAGAAGGUCUUCGGAUUGUAAAGCACUUUAAGUUGGGAGGAAGGGCAGUAAGUUAAUACCUUGCUGUUUUGACGUUACCAACAGAAUAAGCACCGGCUAACUUCGUGCCAGCAGCCGCGGUAAUACGAAGGGUGNCAGCGUUAAUCGGAAUUACUGGGCGUAAAGCGCGCGUAGGUGGUUUGGUAAGAUGGAUGUGAAAUCCCCGGGCU